rnacentral:rRNA from 1 species
UGAACGCUAGCGACAGGCCUAACACAUGCAAGUCGAGGGGCGGCACGAGGAGCAAUCUGAGUGGCGACCGGCGCACGGGUGAGUAACACGCAUGCAACCUGCCUGUAAGCGGGGAAUAACCCGUUGAAAGACGGACUAAUACCGCAUAAUACUAAAUUACUGCAUGGUAAUUUAUUUAAACAUUUAUGGCUUACAGAUGGGCAUGCGCAUGAUUAGCUAGUUGGAGAGGUAACGGCUCCCCAAGGCAACGAUCAUUAGGGGUUCUGAGGGGAAGGUCCCCCCACACUGGUACUGAGACACGGACCAGACUCCUACGGGAGGCAGCAGUGAGGAAUAUUGGUCAAUGGACGAGAGUCUGAACCAGCCAAGUCGCGUGCAGGAAGAAUUGUCCUAUGGAUUGUAAACUGCUUUUGCAGGGGAAUAAAGUGCAUCACGUGUGAUGUUUUGUAUGUACUCUGCGAAUAAGGAUCGGCUAACUCCGUGCCAGCCGCCGC